GUUCGUGAUAGGCUUAAUAUUUAGCAUCACAUGCAAGAUUGUGGAAGUAUCCUUUAUUGUAUUCACUUGGAAUAGGCGGCAAGCUGUGAUGUUGUGUGCUUGGGUGUUGUAAGAUGUUCAUUUGUGUAAAAUGUCUUUGAGAUUCCCAUAUCUAAUUGUCUUUUGUUGUAGGGACGUAUAUUUGCUGCCUUUUGUUCAUGCAGAUGCUGCCAUUGUAAGGAUUGGAUACAUUUGUUGAUUGCAAGCUCUGUUCCUAUCAAGAAAUCAUGCUGAAAUUUUUGUACAUUUGUUGGUUACAUUUUCGGGUUCGAGUCCGAAAAACCGCCCCAUUUGCAAAAAUGGGUCGGGUUUGGGUUGACCCAAAUAGUGUCGGGUUAGUUUCGGGUUUGACCUGAGCCCUACCCUUGACCCGAAAUUGACACCCCUAAAUUUAAUAGUAAUAUAUUAGUGGGAGACCGUGAUUUUGGUAGAUGAAUUCAUUAAAAAGAGUUCUCAUUUUAGAUAUUUGGAUUAUGUUAUUCAAAAGUGAUGGUGAAAUUGAUGGGGAUAUUAUUAGUAGAAUUCAAGUUGCAUGAUUGAAGCCGAGGAAUGCAUCGGGCCUGUUGUGUGCUAGAAAAGUAUCCCCAAAUUUAAGGGAAAAUUCUAUAAGAUGUUUUUAUCUGCAAUGAUUUAUAGUGCAGAAUUUUGACCCUUAAAAGCUAAGUAUAAAAUUAAGUUAAAUGUUGCUGAGAUGACGAUCAUCAGGCUGAUGAGGGAGUAGCCUUUACUCUUAGUGACGGAAUGCUAAAUGAGUAUAUAUGGAAAAAGGUUUUAGUAGCUCCUGUGGCAGAUAAGACUAGAGAGAGUCGCCUUAGAUGGUUUGGUCACAUAAAACUUCGCCCUUUCGAUGUCCCAGUUUGGACAGUAGAUGUAUUAGAUGUAGCCAACAUAGAGGUAGACCUAAUUGAUUUGGCUAAUUGCUUCAUGGAUGGCUAGGGGAUCCUCACCUCAAGCAACCGAUGCAGUGCCAACCAUCAGUUGUUUAUGCCAUUAUUCUAGAUGUGUCAUUUAAUUGUGAUUCGGCUUUUCAGUUUGCAAGCAUCAAAUAUUUUGUUCUCAUUCACACCAUUUCCUAAAAGUCGUCUUUCUAUUGUGUAGAGAUCUUUGGGUCCUUUCUUAUCAUCUUGGAUCCAAAAUAUCGUUUGUUGGACUUGGCCUACCCCAACGUCUGGGUUACUACACUCUGGAAUGAUAUGAAAUUUGUGGUUUUGCUGGGCUUGAAUAGAUCCCCACUGAUGCAGUGCCACCCAUCAGUUUGUUUCUAGAGGACGCAUUUUAAUUGAAUUUGAUAGUUGUGAUUGGGCUUCUCAGUUUGCAAGCAACAAAUGUUUUUGUCUCAUUCGCAGCCAUUUUCCUCUUCUCAAUUGAUGGUUUCACAACAAAGAAAUUUGUCACUUUUUGCUAUUUGAGUUCAGGAUGUUGCAACAGUCUGUAUAUUGAGUUUUAUAGUUUUAGAGGCUGAUUGAAGGCUAUGAUUAUCAUAGUUCCCCAUUGUAAAACCCGGUUAUGUCGGGAAAAUAAAGAAAGAAGACUUAUGCUAAACUGUCAACAUCAAAAUUGUGCCUAGGCGCUGACCAUUCAUCCUCCAAAAAAAGAAAAUCUAUUGUCCAUUGCAUGGGGGAUGAAUUUGAUGUUAGGCAAUUGUAUCUUUGAUGGAUGGGGAUUCUCUUCUCAUUCAACUGAUGCAGUGCCAUCCAUCAAAUAUUUGUUAUUAUUUAUGAUGAGGCCUCCUAACUGAAUAUGAUGGUUGUAAUUUUGGGUUACUCAGUUUGCAACCAGAAAAUACGGUGUUCACAUUUACACCAUUUCUAUGGACUUGUCUACCUUCCUAAUAGUUGCAUGUUGAGUCUCUUCUCUAUGUUUAGGUAGCAAAUUCACGCUUGUUUCUCUUAUAAGAAUUGCGGCGUUCAAAUCGUUGAAAAAUUCUUUCAAAUCCUAUUUUUGUCAUUUGCACCGAUAAUACUUGUUUUUUUAAUGCUAAUGUAAUACUUACUGGACAAUGAUGUUUAUAUGUUACACGGUCCUUAGAAGCUUCUUGAUUUUUUUGUUUUGUUUCUUCAUCGAAGAUGGAAUGAUGAUCAGUUUCCUUUUUAUACAUACCUGAAAAAAGUGCAAAUGUUCAUGAUAGGGUUAUUGUUGAGCAUCACGUGGAAGAUUGUAUUCACUUUACUCUGUUCCUAUCAAGAAAUAUUACUGGAAUUUGGGUUACACAUUCAAAUCAAAGUUGUUGCUCCUAGGGUUUUGAAUAAAGCUCGAUGUUGACAAAUAGUUCAUGUUUCACUUCACCUACUUGCUUGAUGUGGGCUCCAAAAAUUCGUCCCCGGCCUCUCCCUGUCACCUUUCUUUAUUUUUGUUUAUCGGGUUGUCUAGGAGAGUUUUAACAAGUUCUGAGGUAAAUUUUCAGAAGGCAUAUUAGAUUUGAAAUAAGACACUACCCAGAGAUUUCGCCCUCAUUUUGCGAGGACUCUAUGAUCUGAGUUCUGGUUUCCUAUAGGCGCAAGCCCCUAUAGUUUAUCACCCAUUCCGAUAUCGGGAGAGAACUUUCGUUUAAGGGUAGUCGACAAACAGAUACGUAGAGAUAUGUGAUAUCUGGUGUAUAGUAGCAUCAUGAUUUGGUGUGUGAGAAUUUAAUAUUUAAAAUUAAAAAUUUAAAUAUCUUUUUCUUAAAGCGGAUGGUGGGGGUUGUGAUGAUAGACUCGAUCAAGAUCCCAUGGUUUCAUCAUCCCGGGUCAUCAUGGUCCCUAGUCUACUUAGUCAGAGGACGUAGUCGACCCAACUUGACAGAAGGAACCUUGUCGGCAUUCAUGAGUUUCUUCGUCCAAGAGUAUCUUAUAGACCUUGGGGUGGGGGGAUAUUUGUCUAAGUGGACAAAAAAUCUGAAUCCACCUUAGCUAAUUGAGGGUUUUGUGCCCUAUGAAUUAUAUCCUAUUGAUUCACAUCUCAAAGAAAGAUAUUGUCCAUUGCAUGGGAGAGAGCGAGGGAGAGAGAUGAAUAUGAUGUUAGGCAACUGCAUCAUGGAUGGAUAGGGAUUCUCUUCUCAUUCAACCGAUGCAGUGCCACCCAUCAAAUGUUUGUUAUUAUUUAUGAUGUCUCCUAACUGAAUAUGAUGGUUGUGAUUGGGCUACUCAGUUUGCAACCAGAAAGUAUGUUGUUCACAUUUACACCAUUUCUCUGGACUUGUCUUCCUUUCUGGUAGUUGCAUGUUGAGUCUCUUCUCUGUGUUCAGCCAGCAAAUUCAUGCUUGUUUCUCUUAUAAGAAUUGCGUGCAAAACUGCAAAUCAUUGAAAAAGUCUUUCAAAUCCUAUUUUUGUCAUUUGCACUGAUAAUAGUUGUUUUUGAAAUGCUAAUGUAAUACUUACUGGGCAAUGAUGUUUAUGUUGCACGGUCCUUAGAAACUACUUGAAUUUUUUUGUUUUGUUUUUUCAUCAAAGAGGCAAAGAUGAUCAGUUUCCUUUUUAUGCAUACCUGAAAAAAAUUCAAAUGUUUGUGAUAGGCUUAAUAUUGAGCAUCACAUGCAAGAUUGUGGAAGUAUCCUGGAUUGUAUUCACUUGGAAUAAGCGGCUAGCUGUGAUGUUGUGUACUUGGGGGUUGUAAGAUGUUCAUUUGUGUAAAAUGUCUUUGAGAAUCCCAUAUCUAAUUGUCUUUUGUUGUAGGGACGUAUAUUUGCUGUCUUUUGUUCAUGCAGAUGCUGCCAUUGUAAGGAUUGGAUACUUUUGUUGAUUGCAAGCUCUGUUCCUAUCAAGAAAUCAUGCUGAAAAUUUGGUUACAUUUGUUGAUAACCAAGCCCUUUUAGGUUUACCUUUACUUUUCUUAACAUAGGUUGGAUCUAAUACAUCUACUCUCCUAACGAGUUCAUUAGAAGGCCGACGUUUUAUAUGAACAAACCAUCUAAGACGACUCUCUAAUCUUAUUUGCCAUUAGAGUUACUCCAACUUUUUCGCCUAUGUGCUUGUUUUGCACUUAUUCUUUAAGCGUUUAGUCUGAGCAUCCUCUUCUACAACACUUAAUUUUAUGCUUCUCUUUUAGUGACCAACAUUCUGUGCCAUAAGCUUUCAUGGUCUCACCACCAUCUUAGAAAAUUUUCCCAUCUUGGGGUACCUUCUUAUCACACAACAGACAUUAUGCAUUCCUUCAUUUCCUCCACUUCAACCAUCAAACUUUGAUUAUACUAUCAAUAUAUCCAUAAAUGUGCACUCUUUUUAAUGACUUGAUCACCCAAUGUUAUAAUCUCGCCAGUAGAUCUUUUACUACUAAAGUUACACUCCAUUAUUUUGUUUUAGUGCCACUCAACUAAAAAAAAUUUUGACUCUAAGAUCGACCUCCAUAUUUCAAGUUUUUCAUCAACUACCUCUCGAGUCUUAUCAAUAAUAAGAAUAUCAUCAGUGAAAAGCAGACACCAAGGUACAUCAUCUUGCAAAUGACUAGCAAGAACAUCCAUAAAUAAAGCAAGAGAUAUGGGCUUGAAGCUGAUCUUUAAUGUAAUCCAACAAUUCUUUUUCCACAUAAAGUUCCUCAAUUAGUUGUAUCUUUUACUUGUUAUUUCUUACAACUAAUCCAAAAUCACAUUUACUAGUAAUUUGUUUUUUUUUUAAAUCCCACUUAACAUAUUACAAAAUUACAUUAUUAUGUUGGUGAGCUAUGGGGACGCAUCCAUUUCUUUUUUUUUUAGUUGAGCUCUUUUUUGGGCAUAUAGAUGCGAGGGAGAGAGAGAGGUUAUUGCUACGUCAUUUGUUGUCAGAGUAAACUACACUCAUAUAAACGGUCACAUAAAAGGAUAGGUGCGAUAUCCACAGCCAUUUUGAAGGGUGGUAUUUCAUUUUCCUCUUCCAAUUGAUGGUUUCGCAACAAAGAAACUUUCUUUGAUACUCACAGUUCCCAAAUAAAUAAAUAAGAAGCUACACUGUCCAACUCACAUGAGAUAUAGAGAGAGAUGGAUAUGGUGUGAGGCAUUGCAUCAUGGAUGGCUGCAGGAUCCUCUCGUCAGGCAACCAUUGCAGUGCCCCCAUCCAAUACUAGUCAUUAUUGUUGAUGAGGCUUCCUAAAUAAAUUUGAUGGUUUUAAUUGGCCUACUCAGUUUGCAAACAAGAAUUUUUUUUUUCACAUUUACAUUUUGUAGUUGCAUGUUAAGUCUAUUCUGUGCUUGAUUAGCAAAUUCACGAAUCACGAGUGAUGCUCUCAUAAAAAAAAUAGGCGCAAAUCACAGGAAAAAAGUAUAUUCCUGGUUUUUCUUUCUUUCACAGAAAUAAAUAUUUUUGAUAUGCUAGUAUAUCUCCUUGUAAGCAUUGAUGGAUGGAAGAAGCUUUGAUGAUCAGUCUUCUUUUUGUACGUAAAAAAUUGCAAAUGUUCAGGGUUGGGUUUAAUAUUUUGUUAUAGAAGUAUCCUUGAUUACUUUCACUUGGAAUUGGUGGCAACCUGUGAUAUAGUGCACUUGGGAGAAUUUGAGAUUUUUGGAUUGUGUAAAUUAUCUUAUAGGUUAUAGUCUCUUGCUGUUGGGAGGCAUUCUAGCUGUCUUUAAAUCAUGCAGAUGCAGCCAUUCUGCUGAAAACUUCUCACUUUCCUUCCAUUUUCUGAUGUCUCUCAGAGCUUCGGAGGAAUCUUAAAUGAAAUUUGUACACAUCUUUACUUCUUUGAUUUCAUUCUUUUGCUUCCUGCUAGAAAAAAAAAAGAAGAUAUAAUAAAUUACAAAAGACAACUUACUAUUUGUUAAGAAUGAAUCUGUUAGCAAUCAGAACGAGGGAGCCUGCAGUUCUCAGGAAAAAAGUUGUAGAUACUGUUUAUUCAUUCCUUUCUUAUUCAACCUUGAUGCAGCGAAGAAACUGAACUCGAUCAGCCUCUGUUGCUAAUUUGGCAAUCCGCAUUUGCAAGUUUCUCAGAACUCUUUAAUGGUAAGUCCAUUAUUUCCAGAUAGUGUUUCUGGAAACUCUCUAACGGGCUUCUGAAUGAAAUGUUUUAUGCAACGCCAAUAGAAUUGUUUUUCAGUUAUGCAUUUGCUUUAUUCUUUCUGCAUAUCUACUGUAACACUUGAGUACAAUCACAAGGAACCAAGUGAAGGUUUUAUAACUGCAGCAAAUUGUAGAGACGUUAUCCUUUAAUCCGAAAUGUUGAUGCAUGGCAGCCAUUUGUGAUUAAUCUAAGACUAGGAUUAACUUUAUACCAUUCCUUUUAGUCUUUUGUGCACUUAAGAACCAGAGCAAAUAAAUGAAUUCAUAGGAAUAAAGUAGUUAAAGAUGAUUCUUUUCUGAAUUAUUUUAUUGAUGGAUCGUUCAUUCCAAUCUGAUAGAUGCUUAAUGAUAUAUUAUUUCUAGAUCGCCUUACUGUUAAGUUUUGAAAGGCAUUAUCCUGUCAUUCUCAUAUAAUUUUGCUUUGUUUUCCUCUGUUGCUUCCCCUUCUUUCAAACCUUUUCCUCUAAACGGUAAGAAAGAUGGUAAAGUACAAUAAAAGUGCUUAUUGCCUGCCAAUUAAGCAAUAACGUUGCUGAUUGUUAGACCGGUCCAGGCGGGACCGAUUCACGGGCAAAACCGCAAAACAGCGGAGAAAGAACUCCGCCUGUGCGGGAUGCCGCGCGUGCCGCGAUUCCACGAUUAGGAGGGAAUUUGAAUGUAGGGACUGUUUAGGGAUUUCCUUUUGAUUUGUAUGCAUUAAAUAGUUGUUUUUCAUAGGAUUUGGGUAUCUUGAAUUUGGCUGAAAUUUGAUCUCUUAGAUUUAGGUUUCUUUGGGCUCUAGCGGCGUCUAGCGAUUUGGGAGAGAUCGAUCCUCUCGAAUUGAGGAUCAAUUGUAUCUUGCUGUUUUUAUUCAUCUACUGGUAUAAUACGAGCUUUCCUUUGAGUUUUCUCUCAGAUUUUCCCGGACAAGUGCUGUUUUUCUGCUGUAAACAGCAGAUUUCUGCUGUUUUCCUGCUGUGGACAGCCAUUUGGCUGCUGUUUGUUCGCCGAUUUUGGUUAGGUUACUUGAGAACUCAAGUAUUUCCUAUCACUGAUUCCCAUCACUUCUCAAAACCAGAAAAGAUUGAUCUGGCAAGUCCGCCACAGAAGAAAUUCCGUUCAGUGUAGGUGAAGCUUCAUUAAUGAUGACAGUAGGAUCAAGCACCUGUUGGAGCAGCCAAGCUCUGAACUGGUUCAGUCUAAGUAACUCGGAGCAAUAACGUAUCAACAAGAAGCUGCCUCGAGAAGGUUUGAAAAAGACUUCGAGCCAAACUUUUUGUAAUAACUGCUACUGAUUGAUUCUUUUGAAGUCACUGGUGCUUCUUCAUUAGUUGGGUCUGGAGUUAGUAUCAGAGCAGCACCAUGGGAGAUGAGCAACCAGAGCUAUAAAAGAAAAGGAGUACAAGUGAGGGAGACUUUGCUUCUGCGAUGGAAAAAAAAAAAAACAACUCAAUGAUCUCUUAGCAGUUGAGCCUACCUUUGCAUUUGCACAGAAUGAGCAUAUAUGAUCUACUUUGAUGGUCAAUAACUUGAAAAUUUGAUUUCAUUCAAAUGAAGAGCAAGCUAACCUGAUGAUGCUCACAAUGUUUUCUUUGUUGCUUUUAAUUUAUACAAGUUGGCUAAAAAUGACUUGUAUCUAACAAACAUCAAAUUGAUUCAAUCAAGAUCCUUUAUAAACUUUUUAA